rnacentral:piRNA from 1 species
GCGGUGGAGGAGGGAGACGGGUG